rnacentral:rRNA from 1 species
CGGAGGAUGCAAGCGUUAUCCGGAUUCAUUGGGUUUAAAGGGUGCGUAGGCGGACUUGUAAGUCAGGGGUGAAAUCCGGCAGCUCAACUGUCGAACUGCCUCUGAUACUGCAGGUCUUGAGUCAACAUGAAGCAGGCGGAAUAUGGCAUGUAGCGGUGAAAUGCAUAGAUAUGCCAUAGAACACCGAUAGCGAAGGCAGCCUGCUAAAGUUGUACUGACGCUGAUGCACGAAAGCGUGGGUAGCGAACAGGAUUAGAUACCCUGGUAGUCCACGCCGUAAACGAUGAUCACUCGCUGCAUGCGAUAGACAGUAUGCGGCCAAGCGAAAGCGUUAAGUGAUCCACCUGGGGAAUACGAUCGCAAGGUUG